rnacentral:lncRNA from 1 species
UUGACUCUGGAGAAACUUAUCUGGCCGCUAUGCCCUGCACUGCUUCUUCUCAUCGAAGUUGAGCUUUGAGCGCCUGCAAGAACAGAGAGAAAAAGUAGUACGUUACCUUUUCUCAAACCUUUCGUCUCAAGCAACUUCUCUGGCCUUUGGAGGUGCACUAACGUCUGCUCCCCCGUCACUCUAGAGGAUAGCUCAGUCAAAUCGAAACUUGGUAGGUUCUUGCUCUAUUUUCCAGUCCAUGUUCCAAGCCACCUGUGCAAUAACUUCCAUGUCUGGUGACUUCCACCAGUUGACCCUUGUAUGUGAUCUUCACUGUCCGUGAGCAAGAUCCUGCUGUCUUCUUGCUCUGCAACUUCAUCUCCUUGAAGAUUGUUUGUACACAAUCUUCCAUGUGACAACGCAUGCACUGUGCUGACUUAUGCGUCACUGCCAGUGUUGGCAGGACACUUUGAGGAGAAUCCUAGAGUGCCAUUGCUGUGCGAACCACGAGUGUGAACUUCCAGCUGUUUCUUUUCAGUGGGAGGAUCCUCCACCACAACUUCGAUCUGCCACCCGGGAUCCUGAAAGAUCACAUUACUGCGCUGCUUCCUUCGAGAUAACAUCCAUCGCACGAGCAAAAAGCACGCGAGCAGCACCAAGAUCGCAACCAAAACCCAGAGAAGAAGCUGGAGCAGCGACCACGUCGUCCUCCGAACCACUGUAACUACUGCUGCGGGUGUUGGUGUGGCCACUGCUGCGUCGUGACUGUCGCAACGAUGGUGGUGGUGGUGGUGGUGGUGGUGGUGGCGGCGUCCUCCAUGGUGGUGACCAUGGUGAUGGUGGUGAACAACCAGAGGAGCUCCAUCACCGUGAUGAUGAUGGUACACUGCUGCUGCUGGAGCUGGAUGGUGGUGGCGAGCAUGAUCGAGGAUAGCAGGCGCUGGAGCUAGAUGAGCAGGGUGGCCGUGAGCAGGGUGAACGAAAGCAGCUGGCGCUGGGGCUCGAUCUGGAGCGUCACCUUGAAGAACUGGAGCUAAAGCUGGCGCUGGCUCGUGGCCUUGGUGUCCAUGGUGGUGUGCUGGAUGUGCUGGAGCUAGAGCUGGGUGAUGGCCCAGGGCGCUUGAGCUCAGCGGGCAAGCAUUGGGGCGGCGUGAGCGCGAGAGACCAUAGCUUACCUGACAAGAGCUUCGACAAUAGAAAAAUUCAAGCCAGAAAGAUUAUAAUUUAACUCUUGACUUACAAAAAUAAAGAGGUACUUUUGGCUUUGUGAAAAAAAAAAACGAGUAGACUCGAGAGCUGGAUUGUCAACAAGGGUGCCAUCAGGCUUGAGCAUGCCAAAAAGCUCAAACCUAGAUGUGAACAGCGAUUUAAUCUCACAAUCACGAAAUGCUCUAGGUAUUUCAAAAAGAGAAAAUAACUUUAAUUUUAUGGCAACUCCUUUCCAAGUUCGCAGUGAACAAAACUUUUUUACUCGCUUUUCCAAACCUAUGGAAACUUGGCACUCAUUGAAUGUGAGUCAUGGAGCUCAUAGAGACGCUCAGCCAGCAGCGUGCACAAACUACUUCCUUUUGCAAAAAAGUGGGAAAAUCUAUCCAUUGCUCUUUUGAUAUUCUCACAGUGCAACAUAGCUCCAUAUUGAUAUUGAUCCACAGCUCCUCCAGAGUAGAAUCAGUCAAAAUGUCUGGAACGAUCCAAUAAUUGGGAUUUCAAGAGCUUUUUAAGAGAUGAGGUUCGGAAGGACUAACAAGCUUUUAUAGCCAAGAAGCUGCAUGGAAAUGAUAUGUACAUACUCAAGGUCAUGAAAUCUAAUUUUGGCAACAUCCUAUGAAGUGCUCUAGGUUUAGAUUUGUGGAGCAUACCCUCAAAAGAGAUGUGUGUGGAAUCCACAGGAUGGGCUGCUUGUGUACGAGAGACUCCUCUGUUCCAGAUCAUAUCAAUUUGAUUUAUAUUGUGUUGGUUGUAUAAAUUUCUUUACUCAUCCUUUUGAAUAACAUUGCAAAGCAAAACACUAGCCUUGUUCUUGUGAAUAUUAUUACUAUAUUAUGUAUUAUUAUUAUAAUUAUUAGUAACACUAAUAUUAUUUGGUAUUUUGGUUUGCUAGUAAACAUAUUUAGCUACAUAAUUGUAUUGCUAAAAGUAAUUUAAAAUGAGUAACUUUUCUUUCUUACAAAAUUUCAAAAUUGGAAAUGUCACCUUCACAUUUUUUCAAAGUUUAAGAGCAUUUGCUUUUGGUAUCUCAUAGCCCCUAAACAAACAAAUAGAGAUAUUGGGAACUCUUGAUCAAUUCAAAGAAACUAAUCAUUAAAAACUUACUAGAAUCUGCCAAUAGAGAGAGCCCAAGUCAACAAAAGGAGUCAUUAAGAAUAAACUUUUAAAAUAUUCUGGUACACUAAAGAAUAUUUUCUUAAUGUUUUAGUGGAAAUAUUUUUAUUAAAUAGGUAUUUUAAACAAACUAAUAAUUUAAAUAAUAUUUAAAUAUGAGUGGCAAUAUUUCCUAAUUAAUAGAGGUUUUCCCUUGUAACCUAAUUUACAGAUGAAAGUAUUAUUUUAAGAUUUAAUAAUUAGUAUUAUUAAAUAUUUAAUUAUUACUGUAAAAUCCAUUUGAGUGUAACUUUGAGAAAUGCCCUUUGUUAUUUUAUAUGUAACUUAUAAUAAUAUUUUAUAAUAAAUAUUUUAAAUUAAAAUUCAAUACUAAUAUCUAAUUAUUUCUCAAUGUUAUGAAAUCCUCAUAUUAACAUUUUAACAUUUGAUUCCAUCCCAAAAAGCAUUAAAUAUAUAAAAUAAAUAUGUUUUUAGGGAUUAAAGACCUACCAAAAGUAUAACAUUGCAGGAAGCAUAUGCAAGUGCAACUUGGGAAUUAAUUUGUUGUGAUAUUGUAAAAUUUUAUAUUUAAAAUAUCAAUUUCAUAAUUGAAAAUUGUAUACUUGUGAUGAUAGUAUUAUUAUUUAAUGUUGAGACUUUUAACUUCCACUUUCAACUGUAGUGCUUUUGAGUAUGUUACCUUGCUUCCUUUAAUUAUGUAUUUGUAAUUUUCACACAUUCAUUCUUUCUCAUUUUUAGAAUUUCUUGAGAAAAGUGCUAAAGUUGAGUUUGUGGUUAUGGUUGUAAAGUGUUCUUUUCAAAUUUAAAGUUUGCUUCAACUAAAGCCUGAAGCUCCAAAUUCAUCAAUUUCACCCCUUCUUCAACUAAGUAAAUAUAUAGUAUAUAUUUUACUUUCUGGAUAAUUAACACUACAUAGACUAUGUGAGCAGAACUUCUAUAGGACACAACAAUAUGAAUAAUCACAAUAUUGUGGAGGAUUGCCAUAUUGUUGUUAUCUGCAAAAACAAUCAAUUGGAGUGUGUAAAGUUCAUAUAGUAAUUUGCUUAAUAUAUAAUAUUCCUCCAAUCCAAGUAAAAUAUUUGAUUCUAGAACUGACUUUAAGUCGAUGUCUAACUCAUUAAAUUCUAUGAAUCUUUCCUAAUUUGGCUUGGAAGCAUCUAGGCUCUUCAUUCCUCAAAAGCACUGGUCCUCUUUGUUCUAUAAUUAUAUGCUUAUAUUUGAGAUAGUGCAAAUGGUUUGGCUGUAUAGGCUCACUUCUUUUGACAGUUUCAAAGUUCUCAAUUGGUUUUAUUGCAAAUGAAAUUCCAAAAUCAUAUAAAGUUCAUUUCAUCACUUUUAUGACUUUGUGACCAAGAGGUUGUGUCAAUGUUGUGGAACAUUCCACCAAACCCUCAAAAUUACAUCAAUUUUUUUUAUAACUUGGCCUUUUAUAUAAAAGUAUAUAAAGGUCUAUUGUAGCAUAGAGAUGACUAAAUCAUUCUAGCAUGUUUUAUGUGAAAAUACGCAUUUAGAGCAAUUUGUUUUUGAUAGCCAUAUCAUAUGGUAAAUUUCAAUAAGAUUUGUUGUUAACACUUCGUAGCACGUAUUUCAAAACUCAUUGAAUAAAGAAAGAUAAUUAAUAAAGAGAUUGAUGUGAGUACUUCUUUAUUUGAGAAAUAACUAAAGUCCUUAAAUGUGGAAAACAAAUAAACCACUAUGUCAGCCAAGUUUGUAAUUUUAAAAUUGCAUUUUUCAUAAACAUCACCCCCAACCCAUUAUAAAUGUACAAACUUAUAUUACUGGUUUGCCAUUUUCUAAAGUGCUUGUACCUUUUAAACUCUAGCAAAACCAUUUGUGUUUAUUAUGGUGUUCAACUUGAAUACAUUUCUUUGUGCAUUCAUGUAAACUUUAUUCCUAAUGGAAAAAGCAACUCUUCUCUCACUUAACAAAAACUUUGUUUAUACAACCAUUAUAAACAAUUCUAAUACUUCAUCAAUUUGUUUAUGCUUUGUUACUCAUGAAAUUGUAAAACAUUGGUGGUGUUGAAAAUCGUAAUCCAACCUAAAUAGUUAUGUUUACUAAUACAAGGAGUUAGUAAAUGGAGUUGACAAGAAUAUUCUGAUACACUAAAAAAUAUUCUGUUAAGGUUUUAGCUGCAAACAGUUUUAUUAAUCAGGUAUUUUAAGUAAAAUAAGUAAUUUAAAUAAUGUUUACAUCUGUUUAACUUACCACCAUCUAAUCUUUGUGGCAGAGGCUUUGGUUAUCACCUAAUUUAGAGAAUAAUUUAUAAAUUUAAUAUUCAAUAAUUAUUAUUUAUACUAAUUGUUUAAGUUAUAUAUUCAUAUUAAGUUAAUACAAUACCAAUAUCUAUUUUUUCACCUUAUGUUCAAACAUUAUGAUGAAUUGAAAGUUUAACAUUUAGAUCCAUAAUAUGCAAAGGAUGAAAGACUUUCAAAGUUUAACGUUAAAAGAAGUAUGUGCAUUGCAACUUAGGAAUUGGUUGAUUAUGAUGUUGUAAAGAUUCCCAUUUACAAUAUCACUUUCUUAACUGAAAACUAUAUACUUGAGAUUAUGGUAUUGUUGAUUGAUGUUCAUAUUUACUUUUUAACUAUAUUACCUUUGAGUAUAUUGUCUUCACUUUCUUUGACCAAGUAUUUGUAAUCUUCAUAUGUUUGUUGUUUCUCUUCUACUAAUACAAAAUCAGGAAAGAUUUAAAGAACUUGUAUUGUAUUGUAUAUUUGUACAAGGCAUUGUUGAAAGAACAAUAUAACAUCUAAUCUACAACAAAAUGUUGGAAAAAUGUAAGUCUCAAGUUUUUAUAUCGGUUUAAUUAUAUAAGUUUGGGGAAGAAAAUUCUAUAUAUUAAUGAGUACAUGAGUUAAUGAAAUAAGCUUGUCUAAGUUUAAGUGACCAAACACCAUAGAUCUAUAAUUGCUUUGCUUAAGUGAACUUGAAGUGGUAUUGAAUAAACUUUGAAUAUGCUUGGAUAUUCUAGGAUAUUCUACUAUCUAAUGGCUGUUGUUCAUUUAGAUUAAUCUAUUUUUUAUAAUUUGUGAACAUGUUUAUAAUUUAUAAAAUCUUGGAAAAAACUUUCUAGUAUAUUCUUUUCUAUUCCACUAUUGAUAUGCAAUAAUAUUAAUCUUGGUUUAUAGAUUAUAAAUAUGUUUAUCAUUAUUUCUCAAUUAAAUUAUUACUACUAUCUAGUAAACCAAGAAAAUUAUUUAUGAGAUAAGUAUUUUCUCAAAUAUUUUUAUCUCUUCACCAUGCUAAGAUCCUUUUUCUUGUUUUCAGGUACCAUAUUUUUUUGGGUUUCAUUGACGGCUCCAUCAACCUUGCAUCACAAAGCUUACCAACAAGCUCCUGAGAAAAACUUUUCUCUCAUUUUGAUUAAAUUCUUUGAAUCCAUGAGAUUAGAGCAUAUGCCUUCAGUGAUACGAUGGAGUUCCCUCAUUCUGACACAGCGCUCCUAGUUCUCAGGCAACUCCCAAGCACCUAAAUGAAAAGUAACCUUCCAAGGCAACAUGAGUAACACCUAUUAAUACCCUCUCCACAAUAAAAUUGUAUGUCCAUUCCCAUUCAUGUCAUUGAUGAAAAAGUCAAAGAAGAAGAUACUUACCAUGUGUAAGGAGAUAAACUCUAAAGCCUCCACAGCUUUUCAUUGCCAAACUUCAUUUUCCUGAAAACAGCUUGAAGAUAGGGAUUUUUAACUAACUCGACCAUCUUGGCCUAAGAAUUGCAUAAACGAAGUACCUUGUGAAGGCUAUAAGACGAAACAAAGAAGCUAUGAACUAGUGAAAAAACUAUAGUACCUAUGACCAUCAUGCUUCUUAUGAGUAGUGCAAGAAGAAGCGUGUCAUCGUGACAGUGAGGCAGAAAACUUCUUGAGCGGCAGGCAUGUCUUCACACUGAGCGAGCACGUGAGUAGUGGAUUCCAUCCAGAUCUCUCCCGGAUCUGCGAGUGGAACCUCUUCUCUGCUAAGUCACCGCGUGCCUUGAGCGCCACCAUGAAAAGUCUGAGCGUUUGGCUGCCGGUUUGCUCGUAGCACUAAAGAGCAAAGGUUGUUCUCGGCAUAUCCCAGGAAACGAUGUCUUGCUGCUCCAUGCAAAGUCUCAGCGUUUGGAGGCAGCCCAGCUUCUCGUUGCAUCUGAUAGAAGACUUGCAUGUUCGUGUUCCAGGCAACCAACGUCGUGUUUAUUUGUCCUCCUGAACACUUCUGAUGGUUCCACAGUCCACGAGGCUGCUUGCGACGAAUGCAUACGGCUUUGUAUUCACAAUUUGCGAGGUACCUAUCCUGUUCUUCGUCCCAUCCUGUUGAACAACCUGUGUUGCAAGCCGCAGUGUAGACUUCGACCAUACUUUCACAAUUGCACUUGCUUGAAUGAUGCUCUUGACUCUGGAGAAACUUAUCUGGCCGCUAUGCCCUGCAAUGCUUGUUCUCAUCAAAGUUCAGCUUUAAGCGCCUGCAAGAACACAGAGCAAAAGUAGUACGUUACCUUUUCUCAAACCUUCCGUCUCAAGCAAAUUCUCUGGCCUUUGGAGGUGCACUAACGUCUGCUUCCCCGUCACUCUAGAGGAUAGCUCAGUCAAAUCGAAACUUGGUAGGUUCUUGCUCUAUUUUCCAGUCCAUGUCCCGAGCCACCUGUGCAAUAACUUCCAUAUCUGGUGACUUCCACCAGUUGACCCUUGUAUGUGAUCUUCACUGUCCGCGAGCAAGAGCCUGCUGUCUUCUUGCUCUGAAGAUUUCUCCUUGAAGAUUGUUUGUACACAAUCUUCCAUGUGACAACGCAUGCACUGUGCUGACUUACGCGUCACUGAACCACUGUAACUACUGCUGCGGGUGUUGGUGUGGCCACUGCUGCGUCGUGACUGUCGCGACAACGAUGAUGGUGGUGGUGGUGGUGGUGGUUGUGGCGUCCUCCAUGGUGGUGAACAACCAGAGGAGCCCCAUCACCGUGGUGAUGAUGGUACACUGCUGCUGCUGGAGCUGGGGCUCGAUCUGGAGCGUCACCUUGAAGAACUGGAGCUAAAGCUGGCGCUGGCUCGUGGCCUUGAUGUCCAUGGUGGUGUGUUGGAUGUGCUGGAGCUAGAGCUGGAGCUCGCGGGUGUGAAGCUUGGUGAUGGCCGCCAUGCCAGGGCGCUGGAGCUCGUCGGGCAAGCAUUGGGGCGGUGUGAGCACGAGAGACCAUAGCUUACCUUACGAGAGCUUUGACAAUAGAAAAAUCCAAGCGAGAAAGAUUAUAGAGGUACUUUUGGCUUUGUGAAAAAUAAAAACGAGUAGACUCGAGAGCUAGUGACGCUGUGGAUUGUCAGCAAGGGUGCCAUUGGGCUUGAGCAUGCCAAAGAGCCCAAACCUAGAUGUGAACAGCGAUUUAAUCUCACAAUCACGAAAUGCUCUAGGUACAAAUAUUUCAAAAAGAGAAAACAAUUUUAAUUUGAUGGUAACUCCUUUUUAGGCUCAAUCCCAAUGUAGUGAACGAAACGUUUUUACUCGCUUUUCAAACCUCUGGAAACUUGGCACUCAUUGAAUGCAAGUCAUGGUGGAGACACAAGCCAUCAGCAUACACAAACUACUUCCUUUUGAAAAAAAGUGGGAAAAAGAAACACAAGAUAAAUGUCUAUCCAUUGAUGUUUUGAUGGUCUCAUGGUGCAACAUCCAUCCAUAGCUCCCCCAAAGGUCAACACCAGUAAAAUUGGUCAAAACGCCUGGAACGAUCCAAUAAUUGAACAUAUUUGGAGAUGCUAGGUAUCAAUCCCGGUGCCUUUCACAUGCUAAGCGAGCGCUCUACCAACUGAGCUACAUCCACUUAGCAAAGAAAGGGGAAUGCUAAUCUUUUCUCUUCACCAUUCUAAUACUCAUCCUUUGAGUGAUGAGCUUUGGAAAGACCACCAUCUGCAGCAGGUUUCUAUAGGCGAGCAGCUGCAUUUGCAGGCAACCAUGAAGAAUGUUACUAAUGCUUAUAAUAAUAAUACAUAAUAUAGUAAUAGUAUUCACAAGAGGAGGACGAAAAGAGAGUGUUAUUCAAGAGGAUGAGUAAAGAAAUUGGUAAAACCAACACAAUAUAAAUCAAUUGGUUAAACACUAAUAUUUUUUGGUAUUUUGGUUUGCUAGUAAACAUAUUUAGCUACAUAAUUGUAUAACUAAAAGUCUUUUACUGAGAAACUUUUUUUUCUUACAAAAUUUCAAAAUUGGAAACAUCACCUUUACAUUCUUUCAGAGUUUAAAUGCAUUUGCUUUUGGUGUCUCAUAAAUAGAGAUAUUGUGCAUACUGAUCAAUUCAAAGAAACUAAUUAUUAAAAGCUUACUAGGUGAUGGAUUUUGUUUCAAGGUGGCCUCUCUCCAUUCCUUGUAUUCUAAGCAUGUUGUCCUACCUAGAUCAUGUAUAAAAACCAAACUAAUGCCUUUAAAACUUGUAAGUUGUAACAAGGAAAUCAAUGCCUUCCUAUUGACCUCAAGAAUCUACAACUUAAUGUAUUUCUAAGCAUAUCUGCUAAUAAAGAGAGCCAGCUCAACAAAAGGAGUCAUUAAGAAUAUUUUAAAAAUAUUUUGGUACACUAAAGAAUAUUUUCCAAACAUGUAUUUUAAACAAAAUAGUAAUUUAAAUAAUAUCUAGAUCUUGUGAGGUCCAAGUGUAUGGCUACGAUGCUGUAUACUAAUAUUAGCGUAGUGGGAUUUUGGUAACUAUCAAAUUGGUUUCAAUUCAAACCACUCACUCCUGUAUAUAAACUAGGGUUUUUGGGCUAAUUGAUAUGCACAUUUUCUGUAUCCCUUUCUAUAUUCUAUACACUCAUAUUGGUGAAGAUAUGGGGCACUUUUAAUUGUCCUUGAGAAGUGUUUAGAUUUGGGAUUUUGGUUUAAAUCUAACUUUUGCAUCAUCUAGAUCUAGUUUUUUCCAUUUCCUUUUUUUUGUUUUUUCCUUUCAAGAUUUAGUUUUUUGCAUUGUCUAGAUCUCCCUUUCCUUUGAGCCUUUUUUCAUCUCUCUUCUUUUUCUCUUUCCUUUUCAUUCAUCUUCAUGGCAGAUUAGUAAUCUCCUCCUCCUUUAACUCUGGAGCAACAUUUAGUACAAUUAGUUGAUGCUAUGUGAUUGUAAUUGAACAACCAAACUUAGUUGAUGGUGGCAUUCAUGGCAUGUAGUACAAGUCCUCUUGUUCUUGGUGCCAAUCCUUGCAUUCAGCCAGAGUUUUUUCACAAGAAUGCUAAGGAUGAUGUGUACUAUUGAUUUAAUCACUUUACGGUGAUUGCCACAUAUCAUUCUUGGGAUGAUGCUUGACAUUUGCAUGAGUUUCCCACGUGUCUUCAAGGGACGGCAUUAGAGUGGUACAAUGGUUUGAGCGUAGCCACUUGUGAGGAUUGAAGUGGUCUAUUGAACAUCUUUAAAUGCAUAUUUAAACAUGUUGACGAUUGUGAUGAUGCUUUCGAACAAUUGCAUCAUCUUCGUCAAAGGCCAUUUGAGUCGAUGAUGCAAUUUGGUGUUCGUUUUCAAAGCUUCUUGCUUCAUGUGGAGCCAAAUAUGUUGGAGCGGAUCAAGCUAGAAAUGUUAUGGCUAGCACUUUAUCAAAAUUUUGUCGGACUUGUGCAUGCACUUGCUCCCACCACCCUUGAUGAUGUUUUUUAUUUGGCACAACGUUAUAAGAUGUCACCUCUUCCACUUCUCACUUCAUGUCGUUUAGCUCCAUUUCCUAUGGGUGAUGGUCCUGUUCUAAUGGAGGUUGAUGCUACAACUGCUCAAGUCCAAGGACAAAGGUGAGGUUGUGGUCGUGGCUAUGAUAUUUUUGUGAUAAAGCCUGAUGGGAGUAUUUGUUUUUGCAUUGACUAUUAUCUGCUAAACGAAGUGACGAUCCCGGAUGUGUACCCUCUUCUUCACACCAUUGAUCUCUUGGAUCAUCUGGGCAAAGUCAUUGGUUCACCAAGUUAGAUCUUGCUUCUAGUUAUUAGCAAGUAUCGAUGGCUAAAGAAGAUAUUCCUAAGACUCCUUUUUGUACACUGUUUGGUUUGUAUGAGUUGUUGGUGAUGCCGUUUGGUUUAAACAAUGCUCCUGCAACUUUCCAAUGGAUGAUGGAUGAGGUUUUUUGUGAUAUGCCGAAGGUCACUGCUAACUUUAUUAAUGAUGUCUUGAUCCACUCGGAGGGGACGUGGGAGGAGCAUAUUCAUAAUGUUUGUAAAGUGUUGGAUCAGCUACGGGACGUUGGUCUAAAGUUGAAGCUGGUGCAUGUUUGGGUCCAAGGACAUGACUUAUCUUGGGUACUAUAUUUAUCGUAAGGGUUUGCAAGUUGAUCAUGACAAACUUAUGGAUAUUAUAAAGUUCCUUACUCCGAAGUGUGUGAAUGAUGUGUAGCAAUUCCUCGGCAAGGUGAAGUAUCCUGGUUGUUUUGUAAAUUAUCUUUCUAAUCGCACUGCACCAUUGCAAGUAUUGCUGAACUCACUAAUGUCAUCUUUCAUCUGGUCUCCAGAUUGUGAGUGAGCAUUCAUGGAUCUCAAAGAGCUAUUGACGACUCCUCUGGCAUAUCCUGACUGCACUCAACCUUUUAUUUUAUGCGUGGAUGCUUUUGAUAUUGGUCUUGGAGGUGUAUUGAUGCAAGAGAGCAUAAUUAUGUCUAGUCAGUGCCAUCUCAUUGCAUAUAUAACCCAUACAUUACAAUCAGCAAAGGUGAACUACUCCAUGAUAGAGAAGGAGUGUUUAACAACAGUUUGGGGUUUUGAGAAACUUCAUGCAUAUCUACAUGGUUCUCAGACGUUACUUGAAGUGAUCAUGCUGCCGUUACUUCAUUAUUGAAGAGAAAAAACUUGGUUGGUCGUACUACUUGGUGGGCUUUGAAGUUUCAGAUAUAUGAUUUUGGUGUUGUUUAUCACCCAGGGAGUUUUGUGGAUAAUAUUGAUGCCCUUUCUCGAGCUCCUCUUCCUUCUCCACUCUCUUCUCAUAUUUUUAAUGAGCUUGUUAUUCCAGCAUCUGUGGAUUUUCUAGAUAAGGAUUUUGUGCCGUUGGUGGUUAUUGUACUUGACAUUUAGUGUUCACAAGGUGUAGAGCAAGAUCUACCUUCUCUUAAUGAGAUUCACGAGGCUUAAAAGGUUGAGUUGUGGAUUUGAAUGCUUCGAGAUGGGUUUGAGAAUCCUGCAUCACUUGCUGAUAACUUGCCAUUCUGACAUUUACAUUCUCAAUAUCACUUUAAAGAUGACCUUCUUUAUUUUGUGGGGACGGAUUCUGAUGAUCCUUUAUCGUUGGUGGUGCCUUUUGUCUUUAUUCUACGCUUUCUCCAUGCCUACCAUGAUUCUCUUGUUUUAGACAGGUAUACAGGACAUCGUUGUGUGACUGAGAAGCUGCACAAGUCUUUCUAUUGGCCGGAGAUGCAACAUGAUGUUAUCUGGUAUGUGCAUAACUAUAUUUGGUGCCAAGCCCGUAAUACUCCCCCUUGUGCCUCGGAAAGACAGUUGGAGUCAAUUGCAGUUUCUCAUCCAUUUGAGUUGGUGGCAUUUGAUCUUAUGGGACCUUUUCCACGAUUAACUACUGGCAAUGAGUAUGUUAUUAUUGCUUCUGACUAUUUGACUCAUUGGGUGGAAGUUAGUGCUCUUGCUAGUGCCUCUGCAACUGCUGUUGUAUACUUCCUCCUCAAUCGAGUGGUGUUCCAACAUUCUUGUCUAGAGCGGAUUCUUUUGGACAAUGGUCUUGCAUUUAUGGUUGAAACAUUUUAUGUUUUGACGUCUCAGUUAGGGAUACACCACACUUUCAUAAGUGAUUAUCAUCCACAAUAAAACGGUUUGGUGGAACGACUUGUUCGGACAUUCAAAGGGUUGAUUGCAAAGUACGUGACCUUUCAGCAUUCGAAUUAGGAUGGUUAUUUGCUGUCUCUUUAGUAUGCAUUAGUCAUAAACAUAUAGAGUUUUUGUCGCGCAUGUGACUUCGGGUAUCGAAAGUUACCUGUCGACCAAUCCUUACGGACACUCUUACCUUACUGCCACGAUGGCAGGAGGUCGGUAUUGCUGGACCCGUUAUCAGUUUCCCACUUGAGCUAGUUGAGAAACUGGUCAAUGACCGUGUACUUAAAUCGGAUAAACAUAAGGUAGGAACCCUAUGUGUUUCUUGCUGAGCAUACUCGGCCUGGUUUGAGAAACUCCUGUCAUUGGCUUGCACUUGCUAGUAUCAAGAACCCCCGCGAUAUUGAGCUUGGUCCCUCAAUAUCGCUAGAUGAUAGCUUACCGUGUCUGCCAAACACCCUCGCUAUCAUGUUGCCCUUUAUGUUAGUCUCAUUUCGGUCCUAAAUGCUAUUUAUGGAAAGUGUCCAGAUUUGCUCAUUUGGCAUAUCUACGGAAUGUAGAGAUCGGCCUGAACACAAUGGUGUUCGUCCCGUGUCCAAAUUCGCAAUCUAGGGACAUUCCAUAUUUAGUAAGUUUCGAGCUUGUCCUAGAGACUAACUCCUGAUACUAAGGGAGGCUUGGGGUGAAAGCCCAAAGCGUGUGUUCCUCAAGGGGGGGGGGCUGUGGGGGGUUCCAAAUGUAUAGUAGGGAUAGUGGGUAGGUCGGGCAUGGCCGACCAACCUGAGGCAUAGUCUAGCUCCCGCUUGCGUGCCUGUCCUUGUUCUGCGUCCGGCUUGGGUCUAAGCCCAAGUUCCAUUCCAUGCUAGCUGGUGGAGUACCCAUAUCCUCACGUUAGGCCACCGGUAUGCCGAAAUAGCGCCAGACUCCGUUUGGCUCCGUUUUGCGUGCUGGUCCUGGCAUUGGUAUGCUGGUUGCUCCAGGACUGUUCCAAGUCGCUCCGGGCUCCUAUCCCUUCGCUCCUUGGGCUAUAUGCUCGGGAGUUGCUCCGUGGUCCGGUUCCAUCACUCCUUGGCGUCACGCUUGGGAGUUUGGCACCGUUCCUUCGUUCAGUGGCCCAAGGCCCUGAACCUCGGGUUCCUAUGGACACGUGGCACGGACACGUGGUAUGUGACACGUGGCAUCUGUCACGUGGCACAAAGAGGGUUUAGGUUCCGCUUCGUGGUGUUAUCCUAUGGUAAAUCACCAUAGGAUAAAGGGUCAAAACCACGUGCGCUACAUUUGGUAUCAGAGGAUGAGUCUCAGCGAGUACUAUUCAAUGAGAUUGGGCAACCAGUCUCGUUGCAUACGCAGAGAUGAAAACGAUGAUCCGAGUGGGUACACGUUUUGGGUGCAAAGGCUUCGCAAUUGGUUCCUUGGGUAUGGAUAUUGUUACCUUGUUGUACCUUAUGAUGUGAGCUUGCGCUUGGGCUCAUAGGAUGGUUUGGAGAUGUUCCGUUUGCACGAGUUUGAGCUUGAGCUCGUGAGUGAGGCACAUUAGCAACUCGAGGUUACACUUUGAGUUGGCAGGAUUAAUGUUAGCCUAUCGUUGGUUCCAUAAGUUGUUCUAGUGGUUCCAUGAGUUGUUCCAUGUACCAUGGGUGAAAGCAAACCUCCCUGGGUUUGCUAUGAGUGGCAAAUAGGCUGGUCCGUAGCUGUUUAGCACGGCACUAGUGGAUCCCUCCUAGGCAUGAUUAUAAUUGGAUCAAUCAAGACCAUAGGGAUUAGUCUAUUGGUUCAAGUAAUCAUGGUCGUGCUUUCUCAUAAACUUUUCUUCGAUUAAACUGAAGGCAGUGCGAAAGCAAGCUUGAAGUUUGGUCAAAGAUGAGACCGAAAAGAGAGUCGUCGGGGAUGAAGGAUCAAAUACGUAAAUCAUUUUCUCUUCUUGGAGAGAUGAUCUGCAACGAGGUGUUAACUCAUUGCUUGUAUUCACAUCAUGCAAUCAAGAGUCCCUAUCUUGAUGCAUGUUGGAGAUGGUGGUUUUACAAUGGUGAGUUGUGGGAUGGAUAGCGGUGAAGCGCUAAACCAUUUUGUCUAAGCUUGCUAUUGGAAGACUUGGGUUGCAAUGCUCAAUUCUUUUUCGAGAAACCUUGCUAUUGCUCCUUGAGUAGCUUGGUGUUGGAUUAGUGUUGAGUUUGGUCGGAAAGAGAGUGGCAUGAGCUUGUCCGUGUUGUGAACAAAAGUUAGUGGUGUUAGGUGUUGUAAAUCUCUAUUGAUGGGGUGUGGCAUUUAUGUUGCAUUUUGUCAAAUCGAGUUAGCACUUGAUAUUCACAUAAACCUUUGCAGUAGUAACAUGGGCAUUGCUCAUAGUGUUGCUUGAUUGAUGAUCAAGUCAUUGUGAUUUAUAUCAUAUCCAUGUGAUAAUGAGCAAUGUGUUUACGAAGUUGCUUGGGUAAAUGAUGAUCAACCCCAAAGUGGUUGAUGGACAAGCUAGUCUACUUACACGAAGUAGCAUUGUAGUAGCUUUGAUUGGAUUCUCUAUAGUGGUCCAUUAUGCUAAGCUUAAGUAGGUACCUUGUUUCCUUAAGUUUGCCCACUAAGGUGUUGGAAAAGGGUUGUAGCAUUCAUUUGCUAUAGCUUGUCGGUUGAUCCGUUAGCACUUGGAGUAGAUUGUUGGAUGGAGAAGAUGUGGAGUUGGGGCAUUGACGUCACUAGCACUUGUGUUAGUGGAAGUGGCAUUGUUAUUUCAAGUGAUGAGGAAUUUUCCUUGGACCUUGAUUUUUCCAUGUCAUUUUUUCUUGUUAGUGUUUUGGCUUCACAUUGGAUCUUGAAGAUGAUUGAAGAAGAGUGUUAGUGCAAUGUGGAUAUCCGAAGAUGUGGUCUUCGUGAUCAAGCCUUGGAUGUUCAUUUUGCACUUUGCGGAUGUCGGAGUUGGAUGUCAGGAAAAUGGGCAAAGAUGUUCGAUGCUUAAGCAUGCUAUUGGGUCAUGAGAAUUUGUGUUGAGGUGAAUCUAUGUGAAGUUGUUGGUAGGAGGAAGUUGGUUGAGUCCUGAAAGUUUGCAUUCCUGGACUGAGAGUCAUUCUUUCUCUAGGAUGGAAAAUUUUCCACAAAUUUUCUUAGACUUUUCCAAUGGCUGAUCUAUUGAUCACUUUGCUCGAAAACCAUUCCAUUUUCGAAAGCCAGUACAAACUAGUGAAGGGGUUGGAGUUGACUUCGGUUGGCUUAGAUCUUAGUAGGUAGUUUGUAUGAUGUGACCCGAAAGGGAUGCUAACUUUUGGGGCUAAAGCAAUUGAGUUGGAUAGAGUCUGGAGUUGGUGUAGAAAAGUGGCCGCUGCACUUUUCUAAGAAAGGUGACUCUUAUGCCUUUCUUUUGUAGCAUUAUGCUCGGUGGCAGGUUGCACCUUGCAUUUCGCUAAGACUCUAUGAGUAGUGAGCUCUCACUGAUCUUGACUUGGUCUUGGUGGCCCUGCGCCUUGGCUGAGGAUGGUGAUGUUCAACUUAAUUGUUUGAGUUUGAGAUGUUAGUACCCAUACUAUAGCUUUGUCUAUGAGGAGGUUGUGUACCGAAAUGAUCCAUCUCAUGGUCUUCACCUUAGUUUCGACUAAGUGUUGGUCAUGCAUAGCUAGCCUCUUCAAGGCAUGCUCAGAGCUAGUGGCUAAAUGCAUUGGUAAGCUUAUCGUGGUUGAGUUGGAUUCGAGUGGUCAUUUGGUUUGUGCUUGCCUAUGAACUUUUAUCUCAUACCUGGGGUAUUACGUUCAUGUUGGACAAGUAUAUGACUUGAUGACGUGAGUUUAGUGUUUGAGUCUUAUGAAGGCAAGUUGAAGAGUGGUUGUUGGUUGCUUUGCGACUAAUGGUUGCUUGUAGACUUCAUCGAGGACUGUUAGACACUUGCUUCGCUUGAUGAAGAUUUAACAGUGAUGGGUUUACUUUACCGGAUGGUGUUGCGGAGGAUCGUAUCGUUAGACUUACAUGGGUUUUCCAUGUUGGCAUGUCGACUCUACCUCUGUCGAUAUCAUUUGGUUGCGUUUAGUUCAUAGUGUUAGAUUUCAUGGAGUCUUGGACGUGGUGAUGCACUCCUUGAGGAAGUGUUAUCUGUACCUGAGUAAUGUUGAAGAACUAGUCUCGGAUACUAAAGUAUCUUCGACUUUGGUUAGCUUGGUUGCAAGAGAGUUUUGAGUGGUGAUUCACUCUUGCUUUCUUUUAGCUUUGUUUUGAUGUUGAUGGCAUUGAGGUGAUGCCUUGUCAUUGAUAUUAUUGAUGUUGAGAUUCAGGUGAGAUGAUAUAUCUAUCCUUAGGAUUGAUAUUGAGUUUCAUUGCUCUCAAUGAGGAUAGUGUUGAUGAUUUGGCUAUAGCUUUAUGUUAUUAGCAUUCGUGCAUUUGCUAGUUAGCAACUGUGUUGACAUUCAAAUAAACUGAGUGGCAAGUUUGAGUUAGUUGUGUUCUAGACGAGAUUAUUUAGUAGAGGGUUGAGCUUCGGCUUUUCCUUGAAAAGUGAUUCAGUCAUGGACUAUGCUAGCUUUACAAGAUGAAGAGUUAGUGAUUGAUAUUGAAGAUGUUGGUCCCUUGUUGGGUUUGCAUUGGGAUAUAUCAAUUAUUGAUGAUUCCUUUUGUGCUUGUUAUGACGUGAGUUACGUCUUGCUAUAGAUGGAUUCAUGGAGGAUCGUUUGGUGAUCACUUGUCGAGCAUAGCUUCAUUAUGUUUAGCUUUUGGGUUGAUGCAGACAUGCUCUUCAUUAGCUUUGCAUUAUGAAGUUUAGCUUAUGGAUGUGUUGAGGAGGAUAUUGUGGGUGGUACCAUGAUUUCUUCUUUAGCAUUGAAGUUAGUUCAUGCGAGACUCAUGAUCAUUGUUAAGCAAAAACUUAGCUAUAGGCUUCUUCACGCUUUUGGUUCUUUGAGUUUGGUGCUCAUUGUUCCAUUAGGUAGAAGUUGUUGGGGAAGGCAUUUUUGCUCAUUAGCUUUGAUGUUGAAGUUGGCUUUUGCAUCUGGCAAUCAUUGGUGAUGAUUGACUAUCAUUUAGGAUAGUUGAUUAUCCUAGUCAAAAGAUUUUGCUUGAUUGUUGUUGAUAUCGAAUGAUUUACUAUUCUUUGGGAUGGUGGAUUCCUUCUUUGACAAUGAUUAUGCAUUUCUUUCUUGAUGGGAUGAUUGAUGAUCUUUCGUGAUGGUUAGUUGUUCUCCUUGAUGGCUUAUGGCUUUUCGCAAUACCACAUGUUCCUUGUGGUUUGCUCUGGAUUGGUCUCUUGGGUUUGAGACAUUAGUAGGAUGUCGCUGACACUUGCUAGAGCAACUUAAGUUCCUUAGUAUUGUUGGCUGGGAUUUAUUUGGAUUGGCUCAUAUGAUAGUUGACAUAACCGAGUGUUUGUUGGCCAUGCAACAUUCAUUCUAUUCUGUUGAUUAUUGCUCGAGUUCGUUCUGAUAGAUUGGGAUGUUAUUUCCUUCGGGUGAUACAUUCGCGAGCAUUUUGCUUGCCAGUCGAUGAUACUUUGUGUUCUUUGAGUUAUCUUUUGUAAGUUGUUUAGCACUCUAUCUGCAAUCUUUAAUGGUUAAGUUUCAUCAUUGAGUUUCAUUGAUGAUAUACUUGCUAUUGAAUUUUGUUUGAUGGUGAAUCCUAUGUUUACCACUUAUGAUGAUCUUGGUGGUUCAUAUCCUAUAAUACUGGUUUAUCGGAUGAUAACUUACUUGGAAUACUUUUGUGUUCUAAUCUAAGAUAUAUUCACUGAUAAUUAAGUCUCUACGAUAUCAUUGUCUCUGACUUUGAUAUUGUCCAUCUAUUGAUCUUUGAGUUUGGGCCAGUAUAGGCAGACUGGCUUCGGCACUUCGUGUGCAUGUUGAAAUCUCUAGUCAUGGGGUAGCUACUGUCGACUGGUCACAUAACCCGCCUCUCUGUCAAUGUUCCUUGUUCCGUUAAAAGGGCGUGACCGUGUAAACAACUCUAACUGCCUGUUUACAGUAGUCUAUCUAAACCUUACCGACGGGUUUGGUUUCUUUGCUCAGGAGGGUUGGGGCCUCUGGCUUCUCUCUCUAUGUCUCUGCGGGCAGGGCAUAUCACACUUUUGUAAGCUGGGUGACUCCCAGAGCAGCAAGGGUGGCUAACUCCGUUGGUCAUUUCCUUGUCGGCGACGGCCGGAAGGUGUCUGAGCUGGUAGCGCAUCCGCGUUAGACAAAGAGGUUACCGCUAACUCAUUUAAGUUGGUGCAUUUCUCAUAUAGUGUGAGUACCGUGAACUUUUUCUGGAGUUGUUUCCUUGGCGGUAUUCUAGACUCGAGUAUGCAUCGACGAGGACGUCGAUCUUCCCUAGGGGGGGAGAGUGUCGCGCAUGUGACUUCGGGUAUCGAAAGUUACUUGUCGACCAAUCCUUACGGACACUCUUACCUUACUGCCACGAUGGCAGGAGGUCGGUAUUGCUGGACCCGUUAUCAGUUUCCCACUUGAGCUAGUUGAGAAACUGGUCAAUGACCGUGUACUUAAAUCGGAUAAACAUAAGGUAGGAACCCUAUGUGUUUCUUGCUGAGCAUACUCGGCCUGGUUUGAGAAACUCCUGUCAUUGGCUUGCACUUGCUAGUAUCAAGAACCCCCGCGAUAUUGAGCUUGGUCCCUCAAUAUCGCUAGAUGAUAGCUUACCGUGUCUGCCAAACACCCUCGCUAUCAUGUUGCCCUUUAUGUUAGUCUCAUUUCGGUCCUAAAUGCUAUUUAUGGAAAGUGUCCAGAUUUGCUCAUUUGGCAUAUCUACGGAAUGUAGAGAUCGGCCUGAACACAAUGGUGUUCGUCCCGUGUCCAAAUUCGCAAUCUAGGGACAUUCCAUAUUUAGUAAGUUUCGAGCUUGUCCUAGAGACUAACUCCUGAUACUAAGGGAGGCUUGGGGUGAAAGCCCAAAGCGUGUGUUCCUCAAGGGGGGGGGGCUGUGGGGGGUUCCAAAUGUAUAGUAGGGAUAGUGGGUAGGUCGGGCAUGGCCGACCAACCUGAGGCAUAGUCUAGCUCCCGCUUGCGUGCCUGUCCUUGUUCUGCGUCCGGCUUGGGUCUAAGCCCAAGUUCCAUUCCAUGCUAGCUGGUGGAGUACCCAUAUCCUCACGUUAGGCCACCGGUAUGCCGAAAUAGUGCCAGACUCCGUUUAGCUCCGUUUUGCGUGCUGGUCCUGGCAUUGGUAUGCUGGUUGCUCCAGGACUGUUCCAAGUCGCUCCGGGCUCUUGUCCCUUCGCUCCUUGGGCUAUAUGCUCAGGAGUUGCUCCGUGGUCCGGUUCCAUCACUCCUUGGCGUCACGCUUGGGAGUUUGGCACCGUUCGUUCGUUCAGUGGCCCAAGGCCCUGAACCUCGGGUUCCUAUGGACACGUGGCACGGACACGUGGUAUGUGACACGUGGCAUCUGUCACGUGGCACAAAGAGGGUUUAGGUUCCGCUUCGUGGUGUUAUCCUAUGGUAAAUCACCAUAGGAUAAAGGGUCAAAACCACGUGCGCUACAGUUUUGUUGUUACUUCACCAUAUAAAAUUCUAUAUGGUUAUGAUCCAAUAUUAUCAAUGGUGUUGGGUUUACCUUUGUGAUUGCCAUGAGCUACUAAUGCUAGGUCGUGGGAUUAGUAUUUGACAAGCAUUCUUCAACUUGUCCGAACAAAGUCUGCUAAACACUUAGGCCGCGUACAAGUGGGACAAUAACGGUGCUACAACUCCCAUCAUCGUCCGCCUAUAGAGUACAAAGUGGAUGACUUGGUGUUAGUUCAUUUUUCCCAUUUUAUGGUACGUGGUUUAUCUAAAGGGCUCCUUGCUUAGUGUUGCAGCAAGUUGGACCACAAGUUUAUGAGGUUUAUGAGUUUAUAAGGCAUGACAUCCAACAAGCUAAUCCUCCAAAAAUUAUGCAUGUGCAACAGUUGAAACACUUCAUACAAAGGGAUCAAAAGCAGUUAAUACCACUUACAGAUCCACCAAUGCCUCCUCUUGACAUUCCUUUAGAUCUUGGCCCAUUUACAAUAGAACUCUGAUGGUCUUCCAUUAUUCUGAGAAGAAGGGAUGAUGUGAGGUCCAAAUGUACGGCUACGAUACCGUAUAUUAAUAUUAGCAUAGUGGGAUUUUAGUAGCUGUUAAAUUGGUUUCAAUUCGGACCACUCGCUCCUGUAUAUAAGUUACGGUUUUUGGGCUAAAUGAUAUGCAUAUUUUUUGUAUUUUCUUUCCAUAUUCCAUGCACUCACAAUCUAAAAUUUUAGAAUUUAAAUAAUAAAUUCACAAUAUUUAGUAUUACUAAAUAUAUAAUUAUUAAUAUAAAAUCCUAAUUUAUAUAUUAAUAUUUAUUUAUAAAUAUAUCAAAUUCAAAUACAAUACUAAUAACUAGUUAUUUUCCAAUGUCUUUGAUUCCUCUGACCAUGCAUUUGUAAUGGUAAGGAACAUUAAUUUCUUGAGAAAAGUGAGAUUGUUAUUAUAGUUGUAAAGUGUUCAUUUCAAAUUUAAAGCCUGUUUCAACUAAAGCAUAAAGCUUCAAAUUCAUCAAUUUCACCCAAAUAACCAAAUAUAUAGUUUUUUUUUGUGUUUCGAUAAUUGAUAUUGCACAGCCCAUGUGUGCAGAACUUUUGUAGGACAUAACCAUAUGAAUUGAUCACAUUGUUCUGGAAGAUUGCCAUAUUGUUUUCAUCUACAAAAACAAUCAGCUACAGUGUGUAAAGUUCAUAUAAUAAUUUUCUUACCACAUAAUAUUCCUCUAAUCCAAACAAAAUAUUUGACUGUAGAACUUGCUCUAGGUUGACAUAUAGCUCACUAAAUCUUAUGAAUAUUUUGUUCUUUGACUUAGAAGUAGCUAAGCUUUUAAUUGCUCAAAAGCAUUGCUCCUAUAGUUACAUACUCAUACUUGGGACAGUGCAAGUUUCUCGAUUGCAUGGGCUCACUUACUCAUUGUUUUCUUCUAAUAGUUUUAAAGUUCUCAAAUGGGUUUAUUGCAAAUUAAAUUCCAAUAGCAUUUAAAGGUGAUCCCAUCACUUUGUGAGGUUGUAACCAAGAGGUUGUUUCAAUGUUAUAAUAAAUAAACAUUCCACCAAAUCUUUAAAAUUAUAUGUAUUUUAUUAUAACUUGGCCUUUUAUAUAAGUGUGUAUAAAGGUCUAUUGUAAGAUAGAGAUGACCAAAUCAUUCUAGAAAGUUUUAUAUUAAAAUAUGCAUUUAGAGCAACUUGUUUUCAAUAGUGGGUAACAAGUAUUUUAAAACUCAUUUAAUAAAGAAAGAGAAAUAAUAAAGAAAUCAAUGCUAGUAAUUCUUUAUCUGAGAAAUAAUUAAAGUCUUUAAAUAUAAAAAACGACUAAACCACCAUGCUAGCUAAGUCUCUAGUUCUAAACUUGUAUUCCCUGUAAACAUUACUUUCAACCCACUAAAAUGUAUGAACUUGUAUUACUUAUUUAAAUCUUCUAAAGUGUUUGUACUUUUUAAACUCUAGCACAACCAAUUGUGAUUAUCAUGGCAUUCACCUCAAAUGCAUUUCUCUAUGUGUUUAUGUAACUCUACUCCUAAUAGAGAAAGCAAUUCCUCUUUCAGAUAAUUAAAACUUUAUUUUUGCCACCAUUAUAGAUAAUUUUAAUGCUUCAUCAAUUUUUUUGUGCUUCAUUACUCAUGAAACUGUAAAGCAUUUGUGGUGUUGAAAAUUUUAUUUCAACUUGGUACGUGUUGUUCAAAAAAGAACUUAAAAUGACACUUCUUUCAAAUAACAAUCACCAUCAAGGAUUAUACUCUAUAUAAAAGGAUUUUCUAAUAAAGAGAACUUAAAUAAAGGAGUUCAUAAAAAUAUUUUUAUAUACUGAAGAAUAUUCUAUUAAGGUUUUAGCUGUAAUAUUUUUAUUAAACAGGUAUUUUAAAAAUAUUAAUUUAAGCAUCUAAUCAUUGUGGGCAAUAAUUGCUAUUUGAUAGAGAUUUUGCAUUAUCACCUAAUUUUGAGAAUAAAUUAUUAUUUUAUUAUCUAAUAAUUAGUACUUAUACUAAAUAUUAAAAUUAUAUAUCUAUAUCAUGUUUUCAUUACAUUUUUAGUGUAAUUAAAAAAAUGGCCUUUAUUUUUUUCAGUCUAAUUUAUAGAUAAAAUUUAUUUUAAUUUCAAAUACAAUAUCAAUAUCUAUUUUUUUUCACCUCAUAUUCAGAUGUUAUAAUGAAUCCAAAAUUUAACACUUGGAUCCAUCCUAUGCAAAUGAUAAAAUACUCUAGAAUUUUAACAUUUAAAGAAUUAUGUGUAAUUGCAACUUUGUUGUAAAGCUUUCUAUUUACAAUAUCACUUCCAUAACUGAGAAUUAUAUACUUGUGCUGAUGGUAUUGCUGCUUGAUCUUGAUCUUUUACUUUUAAUUAUAAUGAUUUUGAGUAUGUUGUCUUUGCUUCCUUUGACCAAGUAUUUGUAAUCUCAUAUAUUUGUUGUUUCUCGUCUACUAAUAUGAAAUCAAGAAAGAUUUAAAGAACUUGAAUUGUAAUUAUAAAGUUUGUAUAUAUAUACAGGGCAUGGUUGAAAGAAGAAUAUAACAUCUAAUCUACAAUAAAAUCUUGGAGAAAAUUAAGUCCCAUAUAUACUAAUGAAAAAAGUUCUAUAUACUAACGUAAAUACGUUUGUGAAUAGGCUUAUAUAGAUUUAAACUGACCAAACACUAUAAAUCUAUAAUUGGUUUGCAUAAGCAAACCUGUAGCAGUAUUGAUUAUAUUUAAAUAUGCUUGGAGAUUCUAGGAUAAUUUAAUAGCUAAUAGUUUUUGUUCAUUUAGAUUAAUCUUUUUAUUUAUAAUUUAUAAUCUUUCCUAAACACUUUGUAGUAUAUUCUUGUUUAUUCUACUAUUGAUAUGGAAUAAUAUUAAUCUUGACUUAUAAAUUAUAAAUAUGUUUAUAACUAUUGAUCAAUUAAAAUACUCAAUGAAUGAUACUAAGUAUUGUCUCUCAUAUUUUUUAUCCUUCACCAUGGUGUGCCAGCUAAGAUCCUUUUGCGUCUUUUCAGGUACCAUCUUUGUUUGGGUUUCAUGGACAGCUCCAUCAACCUUGCAUCACACUCUUUCCUUGCAAAGUUUACCAACCUCCCGAGAUAAGCUUUUCUCUCAUUGAGCAAGCAUGCUGAGUAGUGGAUUCCAUCCAGAUUUCUCUCCCAGAUCUGUGAGUGGAGCCUCUUCUCUGCUAAGUCACUGUGUGCCUUGAGCGCCACCAUGAAAGACUGAGCGUUUGGCUGCUGGCUUGCUCAUAGCACUCAAGAGCAAAGGUUGUUCUCAGCAUAUCCCAGGAAACAAUGUUUUGCUACUCCAUGCAAAGUCUCAGCGUUUGGAGGCAGGCCAGCUUCUCGUUGCAUCUGAUAGAAGACGUGCUGUCCCAUGAUGAUCGUGUUCCAGGCAACCAACGUCAUGUUUAUUUGUCCUCCUGAACACUUCUGAUGCUUCCACAUGUCCACCAGGCUGCUUGUGACGAAUGCAUCGGCUUUGUAUUCACAAUUUGCGAGGUAGACCAACCUAUCCUGUUCUUCGUCCCAUCCUGUUGAACAACCUGUGUUGCAGUGUAGACUUCGACCAUACUUUCACAAUUGCACUUUCUUGAAUGAUGCUCUUGACUCUGGAAAAACUUAUCUGGCCGCUAUGCCCUGCACUGCUUCUUCUCAUCGAAGUUCAGCUUUGAGCGCCUGCAAGAACAGAGAGCAAAAGUAGUACGUUACCUUUUCUCAAACCUUCCGUCUCAAGCAACUUCUCUGGCCUUUGGAGGUGCACUAACGUCUGCUCCCCCGUCACUCUAGAGGAUAGCUCAGUCAAAUCGAAACUUGGUAGGUUCUUGCUCUAUUUUCCAGUCCAUGUUCCGAGCCACCUGUGCAAUAACUUCCAAGUCUGGUGACUUCCACCAGUUGACCCUUGUAUGUGAUCUUCACUGUCCGUGAGCAAGA